rnacentral:rRNA from 1 species
UACGUAGGUGGCAAGCGUUAUCCGGAUUUACUGGGUGUAAAGGGCGUGUAGGCGGGAAAGCAAGUCAGAUGUGAAAACUAUGGGCUCAACCCAUAGCCUGCAUUUGAAACUGUUUUUCUUGAGUACUGGAGAGGCAGAUGGAAUUCCUAGUGUAGCGGUGAAAUGCGUAGAUAUUAGGAGGAACACCAGUGGCGAAGGCGAUCUGCUGGACAGCAACUGACGCUGAGGCGCGAAAGCGUGGGGAGCAAACAGG